rnacentral:rRNA from 1 species
CUACGGGAGGCAGCAGGCGAGAAAACUUUGCAAUGUGCGAAAGCACGACAAGGUUAAUCCGAGUGGUUUCUGCUAAAGGAACCUUUUGACAGUCCUAGAAACACUGUUGAAUAAGGGGUGGGCAAGUUCUGGUGUCAGCCGCCGCGGUAAAACCAGCACCUCAAGUGGUCAGGAUGAUUAUUGGGCCUAAAGCAUCCGUAGCCGGCUCUGUAAGUUUUCGGUUAAAUCUGUACGCUCAACGUACAGGCUGCCGGGAAUACUGCAGGGCUAGGGAGUGGGGGAGGUAGACGGUACUCGGUAGGAAGGGGUAAAAUCCUUUGAUCUAUUGAUGACCACCUGUGGCGAAGGCGGUCUACCAGAACACGUCCGACGGUGAGGGAUGAAAGCUGGGGGAGCAAACCGGAUUAGAUACCCCCGUAGUC